AAGCAAUGCAUGCUAUUGACCUAGUGGUUUGGAGAACUAGAAACUGAGGAUGCUCCUCAGUCCUCAGGCAAUCUUUGAAAGGAACUAAAAUUGAAAGCAUACAGAGAGGCAGAAAGAGCUGGCCCAAAAAGUGACACUCAGUGGUGGUCUUUUCUCCUUUCAGUUCUUAAUAAAGGGAAAGCGCGGGUAGGGGGUGGGAAACCAAUACAAGCAGAGCAAAUAAUAUAAAGCUGCAUUAUAGAUGCUCACUAGCUGUUCUACAUCCUUUGCGUCUCAAUUUCCUCAUCUUUUAUUAAGCAGCUUGCAUUAAGUUAAGCUCUAAGAUCCUUUUCAAGUUUAAUAUAUGAUGACGGGCAUCAUAGUUUUGGGGCUGUCCAACAAAGGAUGUGUAUCAUAACUUAAUCAAGCAGCGACGGCCUUUGUUGUCCACCAUCACAGACUCAUCAUAAACCACCACCAGUUUUUCCAAUAUUAUCUAAACAUUGGAAAGAGAACUAUGAAAAGACAGAUAACUACGCUGCUUUUUGGACGACAAACUAACAAAUAUCUUAUAUUUUAUAUUAAAUAUCUUAUAUUAAAUAUCUUAUAUUUUAUAUAAGAUAUAAAAUAUUUAUAUAUAAACAUGUAAGAAAUAAAAAAUAUAUAAAUAUAUAAGAUAUAUAAGAUAUAAAAUAUUUAUAUAUAAAUAUAUGAAAUUAUAUAUCUUAUAUAUCUUGUAUAUUUCAUAUAAUAUAUAUUUCUAUAUUAUAUUAUAUUACAAUAUUAUAUAUUAAAAUAUAGUAAUAUAUAAUAUAUUAUAGUAUAUAUCAUAUAUAGUAUAUAAUAUAUAAUACAUUAUAGGAGUAAUAUAUAUAAUAUAUUUUAACAUAAUAUAUAAAUAUAUCAUAUAUGAUUAUAUAUAAAUAUUAUAAUUAUAUAUUAUAAUACAUAAAUAUAAUAUAUUAUAUAUAUUAUAAUACAUAAAUAUAAUAUAUUAUAUAUAUUAUAAUACAUAAAUAUAAUAUAUUAUAUAUAUUAUAAUACAUAAAUAUAAUAUAUUAUAUAUAUUAUAAUACAUAAAUAUAAUAUAUUAUAUAUAUUAUAAUACAUAAAUAUAAUAUAUUAUAUAUAUUAUGGAAGAAACA
rnacentral:lncRNA from 1 species